CAUUACAGGCCUCUCUCAUCUUUUUAAGUGGGAGAACUUGCACAAUUGGUGGCUGACUAAAUACUUUUUUGCCCCACUGUACAUGUUAUGUUAUAUGCUUUUCAGUAUUUGAAUUGGUGAGUAAGAAUGCUGCAACUGUUCAAGUGGUGUACAACAAGUCUCUUACCUCUGGUCUGCAUCUUGAGGUGGUCUUAGUUUUGAAAGACAGUUUCUGUUCUGAUAUGCCAAGACAACGAUAUGUACUGAAAUACAAACCAACAUCAUAGGAAAAGUCUAUAUCAAUAUUACACAAGUAACAUCUACAUUCUCAGCAUAUAACAUUAAAUAUGUGUUACAUCUGUGUUACAAUGUGUUACAUCUGCUCCUGCCACGCCCUCUACUGCUCAUCCUGUGUCUCCUUGACAUGCCACCACUCCCCCAGUACACUCUCCCUCUCCCUCUCUCUCUCUGUGUGUGUGUGAUUGUGUGGGCGGAGACAGGUGUGCUGGAGUGAAGGCAGAUCCCCACCAGCUGCAACCUGUUCCAUAAUCAAGACCUCUACAAACACUCAGCCCUGCCACUUCCACGCUGCCAGAUUGUAAUCUCUGCUCAUUACCCCCGCUCUGACUCUGGUCCCUGUCUCCAGUUCCACGUCUCGACAUCCUGCUACUUUUUCCUGGAUUCCCCACUCUACUACUCCCUGGGAUUCCCCUCCGGACCUGCUUACCCUGUCCCAACCCCUCUCACUCCAGCCUCAGCCUCAGCACCUGUUUUCCUGCAACCCAACCGAGCUUCCCCUGGCCUGCACUCCAUCUUCCCCCUGUGUUUAAAUAAAUACCUUGGUUACUUCAUCCCAGUCUCCUCGUCUGAGUCUGCUCUUGGAUUCCCCUGUUCCACUCCGGGUAACACAAUGUUAUAUAUCCUGGGUUACUCUAAACCAGUUUUACAAGACAUCACACAUUUGUAACAGAACAAGGAAGACCAUAAUGAACAGGAUGUUUAAAGUGGUCUGCAUCCCACAUUCAACAUAUGUUGUGACAGGAUAAAUACUCAAAAUGUGAUAUAUUUAAAUAAAGAUGUAUAUUUUGAUGAAA